AAAUACAUCAUCAGAUUGUGCUACCAGUGCAAAAUAAACAGGUAGCAUGAUUUUACAGUGCAAAAAAAUGUCAUCAGAUUGUGCUACCAAUGCAAAAAAACAGGUAGGAUGAUUUUACAGUGCAAAAUACCUCAUCAGAUUGUGCUACCAGUGCAAAAUAAA